UCUGGUUGAUCCCGCCGGAGGUUACUGCUAUCGAGGUUCGACUAAGCCAUGCGAGUCGAAUGUAGCAAUACAUGGCGUACUGCUCAGUAACACGUGGACAACCUACCCUUAGGUCGGGGAUAAACCCGGGAAACUGGGUAUAAUACCCGAUAGUCCUCGGAUGCUGGAAUGCACCGAGGUCUAAGGCUCCGGCGCCUAAGGAUGGGUCUGCGGCCUAUCAGGUAGUAGUGGGUGUAGCGUACCUACUAGCCUACGACGGGUACGGGUUGUGAGAGCAAGAGCCCGGAGAUGGAUUCUGAGACACGAAUCCAGGCCCUACGGGGUGCAGCAGGCGCGAAAACUUUACAAUGCUGGAAACAGCGAUAAGGGGACCUCGAGUGCCAGGUUACAAAUCUGGCUGUCGUGAUGCCUAAAAAGCAUUGCAUAGCAAGGGCCGGGCAAGACCGGUGCCAGCCGCCGCGGUAACACCGGCGGCUCGAGUGGUAACCGCUAUUAUUGGGUCUAAAGGGUCUGUAGCCGGCCGGAUAAGUCUUUUGGGAAAUCUGGCAGCUUAACUGUCAGGCUUUCAGAGGAUACUGUCUGGCUCGAGGCCGGGAGAGGUGAGAGGUACUUCAGGGGUAGGGGUGAAAUCUUGUAAUCCUUGAAGGACCACCAGUGGCGAAGGCGUCUCACCAGAACGGACCUGACGGCAAGGGAC
rnacentral:rRNA from 1 species